rnacentral:lncRNA from 1 species
UUUGAUUUAAAAUUCAAAAUCUCACAAACACUCAAUUUAUCAUAAUAGUGCUAAUAAUGAAAUAAUUUUUUGCUCAAUGAGUUGGGGGAAUGGCUUUAUAUUCUCAAGAAUUUGGUAUGGGUUAUUAGGGGACUUUGGAUUUAAUGCAUAAAACAUGCCACCGGCUUUGUAUAGUUCGGUAUGCAUCAUUUAUUGAAUGAAUAUGGCUUC